CGGAGUGGCGAACGGGUGAGUAAUAUAUCGGAACGUACCCGGAAAUGGGGGAUAACGUAGCGAAAGUUACGCUAAUACCGCAUAUGCCCUAAGGGGGAAAGCGGGGGAUUCGCAAGAACCUCGCGUUUUCGGAGCGGCCGAUAUCGGAUUAGCUAGUAGGUGAGGUAAAGGCUCACCUAGGCGACGAUCCGUAGCUGGUCUGAGAGGACGACCAGCCACACUGGAACUGAGACACGGUCCAG
rnacentral:rRNA from 1 species